rnacentral:rRNA from 1 species
AUUGAACGCUGGCGGCAGGCCUAACACAUGCAAGUCGAACGGUAACAGGAAACAGCUUGCUGUUUCGCUGACGAGUGGCGGACGGGUGAGUAAUGUCUGGGAAACUGCCUGAUGGAGGGGGAUAACUACUGGAAACUGUAGCUAAUACCGCAUAACGUCGCAAGACCAAAGAGGGGGACCUUCGGGCCUCUUGCCAUCGGAUGUGCCCAGAUGGGAUUAGCUAGUAGGUGGGGUAACGGCUCACCUAGGCGACGAUCCCUAGCUGGUCUGAGAGGAUGACCAGCCACACUGGAACUGAGACACGGUCCAGACUCCUACGGGAGGCAGCAGUGGGGAAUAUUGCACAAUGGGCGCAAGCCUGAUGCAGCCAUGCCGCGUGUAUGAAGAAGGCCUUCGGGUUGUAAAGUACUUUCAGCGGGGAUGAAGGGAGUAAAGUUAAUACCUUUGCUCAUUGACGUUACCCGCAGAAGAAGCACCGGCUAACUCCGUG